rnacentral:rRNA from 1 species
GGGUUGUGAGGUUAAGCGACUAAGCGUACACGGUGGAUGCCCUGGCAGUCAGAGGCGAUGAAGGGCGUGCUAAUCUGCGAUAAGCGCCGGUAAGGUGAUAUGAACCGUUAUAACCGGCGAUACCCGAAUGGGGAAACCCAGUGUGAUUCGUCACACUAUCAUUAACUGAAUCCAUAGGUUAAUGAGGCGAACCGGGGGAACUGAAACAUCUAAGUACCCCGAGGAAAAGAAAUCAACCGAGAUUCCCCCAGUAGCGGCGAGCGAACGGGGAGGAGCCCAGAGCCUGAAUCAGCAUGUGUGUUAGUGGAAGCGUCUGGAAAGGCGCGCGAUACAGGGUGACAGCCCCGUACACAAAAGCGCAUGUGCUGUGAGCUCGAUGAGUAGGGCGGGACACGUGGUAUCCUGUCUGAAUAUGGGGGGACCAUCCUCCAAGGCUAAAUACUCCUGACUGACCGAUAGUGAACCAGUACCGUGAGGGAAAGGCGAAAAGAACCCCGGCGAGGGGAGUGAAAAAGAACCUGAAACCGUGUACGUACAAGCAGUGGGAGCNNNNNNNNNNNNNNNNNNNNGGGCGUUAAGUUGCAGGGUAUAGACCCGAAACCCGGUGAUCUAGCCAUGGGCAGGUUGAAGGUUGGGUAACACUAACUGGAGGACCGAACCGACUAAUGUUGAAAAAUUAGCGGAUGACCUGUGGCUGGGGGUGAAAGGCCAAUCAAACCGGGAGAUAGCUGGUUCUCCCCGAAAGCUAUUUAGGUAGCGCCUCGUGAAUUCAUCUCCGGGGGUAGAGCACUGUUUCGGCUAGGGGGCCAUCCCGGCUUACCAACCCGAUGCAAACUGCGAAUACCGGAGAAUGUUAUCACGGGAGACACACGGCGGGUGCUAACGUCCGUCGUGAAGAGGGAAACAACCCAGACCGCCAGCUAAGGUCCCAAAGUCAUGGUUAAGUGGGAAACGAUGUGGGAAGGCCCAGACAGCCAGGAUGUUGGCUUAGAAGCAGCCAUCAUUUAAAGAAAGCGUAAUAGCUCACUGGUCGAGUCGGCCUGCGCGGAAGAUGUAACGGGGCUAAACCAUGCACCGAAGCUGCGGCAGCGACACUGUGUGUUGUUGGGUAGGGGAGCGUUCUGUAAGCCUGCGAAGGUGGCCUGUGAGGGUUGCUGGAGGUAUCAGAAGUGCGAAUGCUGACAUAAGUAACGAUAAAGCGGGUGAAAAGCCCGCUCGCCGGAAGACCAAGGGUUCCUGUCCAACGUUAAUCGGGGCAGGGUGAGUCGACCCCUAAGGCGAGGCCGAAAGGCGUAGUCGAUGGGAAACGGGUUAAUAUUCCCGUACUUGGUGUUACUGCGAAGGGGGGACGGAGAAGGCUAUGUUGGCCGGGCGACGGUUGUCCCGGUUUAAGCGUGUAGGUGUGUGUUCCAGGUAAAUCCGGUUCACUUUAACACUGAGGCGUGACGACGAGGCACUACGGUGCUGAAGCAACAAAUGCCCUGCUUCCAGGAAAAGCCUCUAAGCAUCAGGUAACAUCAAAUCGUACCCCAAACCGACACAGGUGGUCAGGUAGAGAAUACCAAGGCGCUUGAGAGAACUCGGGUGAAGGAACUAGGCAAAAUGGUGCCGUAACUUCGGGAGAAGGCACGCUGACACGUAGGUGAAGUGAUUUACUCAUGGAGCUGAAGUCAGUCGAAGAUACCAGCUGGCUGCAACUGUUUAUUAAAAACACAGCACUGUGCAAACACGAAAGUGGACGUAUACGGUGUGACGCCUGCCCGGUGCCGGAAGGUUAAUUGAUGGGGUCAGCGCAAGCGAAGCUCCUGAUCGAAGCCCCGGUAAACGGCGGCCGUAACUAUAACGGUCCUAAGGUAGCGAAAUUCCUUGUCGGGUAAGUUCCGACCUGCACGAAUGGCGUAAUGAUGGCCAGGCUGUCUCCACCCGAGACUCAGUGAAAUUGAACUCGCUGUGAAGAUGCAGUGUACCCGCGGCAAGACGGAAAGACCCCGUGAACCUUUACUAUAGCUUGACACUGAACAUUGAGCCUUGAUGUGUAGGAUAGGUGGGAGGCUUUGAAGUGUGGACGCCAGUCUGCAUGGAGCCGACCUUGAAAUACCACCCUUUAAUGUUUGAUGUUCUAACGUGGACCCGUUACCCGGGUUGCGGACAGUGUCUGGUGGGUAGUUUGACUGGGGCGGUCUCCUCCUAAAGAGUAACGGAGGAGCACGAAGGUUGGCUAAUCCUGGUCGGACAUCAGGAGGUUAGUGCAAUGGCAUAAGCCAGCUUGACUGCGAGCGUGACGGCGCGAGCAGGUGCGAAAGCAGGUCAUAGUGAUCCGGUGGUUCUGAAUGGAAGGGCCAUCGCUCAACGGAUAAAAGGUACUCCGGGGAUAACAGGCUGAUACCGCCCAAGAGUUCAUAUCGACGGCGGUGUUUGGCACCUCGAUGUCGGCUCAUCACAUCCUGGGGCUGAAGUAGGUCCCAAGGGUAUGGCUGUUCGCCAUUUAAAGUGGUACGCGAGCUGGGUUUAGAACGUCGUGAGACAGUUCGGUCCCUAUCUGCCGUGGGCGCUGGAGAACUGAGGGGGGCUGCUCCUAGUACGAGAGGACCGGAGUGGACGCAUCACUGGUGUUCGGGUUGUCAUGCCAAUGGCACUGCCCGGUAGCUAAAUGCGGAAGAGAUAAGUGCUGAAAGCAUCUAAGCACGAAACUUGCCCCGAGAUGAGUUCUCCCUGAGACUUAGAGUCUCCUGAAGGAACGUUGAAGACGACGACGUUGAUAGGCCGGGUGUGUAAGCGCAGCGAUGCGUUGAGCUAACCGGUACUAAUGAACCGUGAGGCUUAACCUUACAACGCCGAAG